rnacentral:lncRNA from 1 species
GCAUAGGAAUUGAUUUCUGUACCAAUCGGAGUAACCAUCUAGUAAUGAUACCUGACGUCUGGAUAGGUCGAAUGUAUGUAAAGCAACACUCAAGAACCUAUUUAGAUAUAGUUAUCAUAUAAUUUAUCCCUUUGACCCUUGAUGCUAGGAUGACUUAGAGUUUAAACUAUCAACUCUUAACUGUACAUCCAUUAUAUGUCUCAACCUGAUAAAUCCUGUGACUCCUCGCAAGGAUUGUCCUGGCC